GCCCGCACGACUCUUCCUAGUCCUGUUCUUCCGAGCACUAAAGCCUCUUGUCCUUGCAUAUCUAUUGUAGAACUCAAAUGCAAUGUCGACAUCAGAAAAGUGAAAAUGACAUACAUCUUCAUCCCUGAUGUUCCAAAAUUCAAUCAUCCCAAUGUCUUCGAGUGAGUCAAUGUUAUACCCUUCAUCGAAGCCGUGAUAAUCGAACAUUGGUUCCACAUUUGUGUCGUCCUCAUCCAUAUAAUCCACGUCAACUUCCUCAUGUUUUUCUUCCUCCUGCUCAUACUGAUCAUAUGAUGUAUGCUCGCUAUUAAUCCCUUC
rnacentral:lncRNA from 1 species